rnacentral:lncRNA from 1 species
UAGGGAAAGCCAGAAUAUCUUAUAACCUGAAACACGGAGGGAAUAGAAUAGUUGAAGUAUUAGGAGAUGUAAAAAAGCGAUUCUUUACCAAAAGUAUUGGGCAUAUAUCACACCAAAAGUAUUGUAUGAUGGUGCCAAUUCUUGCUAUCCUUGUCUCUCUAGCUUUACCCUCAAUUGCACCAAUGUCGCGCAUAUAUCACACCAAAAACACUGUAUCCUCCGAUGGUGCCAAUUCUUGCCUCUCUAGCUUUGUCACCAGUUUGGGUCCCCUUACUGUUAACAGCAGCUAUCAGUCGCCUGGUGUGCUGUACCUGUACGCGUAUUGUAGUAGUAACGGCCGGCUUCCACGGUUACAUACGAUUAUAAAUCAAAAUUUAAAUUCCAAAUCUUAAUAUUAAAGUCGUAUUUAUGAUUUUCUUAGCAUGGUGUAUUUUACAAUAUUUGUUUUGUAAUCAUUACCGACACGUAUAUAUAAAGGUUUUACAUGUAAAUUAUUAUUCUUCGCUUGCACGUAAUCCUAUUUGUUUUUUCAGAAAAAAAUGCGAUGGAGCCAUCAUCUCUGUCGCUGUCGAACCAGCAGGGGCCAACCACUUCCGUGCAACGGUCGUCACUCAUGUGGAAUGGUGGUUGAUUAUGAUCAGAUCGCAAGGCCGGUGCGGGAAAAGACUGCAAUCCGCCCAAUGGACAGUGCUCAACUUUGGGUAUAGCUGUUGUAAUCGUCUAACCACUAGGAAUCUGCAGUUUGCUAUAACGAGAAUAGCUAGUGGUGCUAAGGUUGAUCUCACAAUGAAAUGUUCCCAGUUCUCACUUUGCGUAUCAAAUUGAGCUUGAGAUUGUACGUACCACAGAACAAGCCGUGUACUGUAUGAACCAAGCGCGUAAUUUCGAGAUCGAUCCUUGAAAACGUACAUGGCAGCUGAGAUCAAAGAAGUUUAUAAAAAAAAGGGGUCAAAAGUACCAUGGUCCUCCGAUUGUCCAUGCACGUUGAUUUGACCAAAACCAAGAACCAGCGUGCUGAACGGGAACAAAGACUUCCCUAGAGAAAACAAAAAACUAUAAUCAUAUCACUAUUGAUGUUUAAUCUUAGUUUUCCCUCAAAUAAAAUGCAUAAUGGCGUCGUCUAACUCCUAACCAAAUAAUAAACACAUCAAUAAUUCGCCGCUUAUCAACCGUGCGCAACAAAACGGCAAAAAAUAUUCCAAGACGAAUCAUUGUUACCUUUUGCAAAUACAGACAUACAGUACUUAUGAACCAGAUCGAUGGACGGCAGCCACAGAUUUAGAUUCUUCGAUUCAUUCAAAUCUAAUCACUUGGACUGAAACAAUAGCACUGGAACAGUAGAACAAGUAGUAUACUGAUGAAAUCGAACUCAUGAAACAGAGAAAAGCUUCACGCGAUGUCACAAUCACAACACGUAGCAAACAUGGCAGGUUUGGCAUUAACGGGACUAAUUAACAUCUCGUUCAAUUCUGUACAUAUAUGUGUAUCCGUUAAGCACAACAAAUCGUGCGUGUUUGAUGGGUCAUUCGACGACGAUCAUUUGCUACACUUUUGAGAUACAGGGUUGAGAGAGUAACGCAUCCGAAGCUAAGCUAGCGCCUCCAGUUUCAAAUUCAAACCUACAGGAUUCAUCUUAUCCAUCUUAACAUGAAAAAUUUUGGAAGGGAAAAAAAAGACGAAGGGGAAGUAACCACUUGCCAUGUAGUGCCAUGUCCGAAGCAUCCCUUCUUCUUCGCGACGAUCGCCUCGGGAAGGCGUGCACGCGGGCACAGAGGCGACCCACCGGCCAAAUGCCGCGACGGCGACCCAUGGCCGGCGGUUCUACUCCUUUAUCCGGAGCCACUGGCCGAGCUGCGUCGGGUUGACN